rnacentral:rRNA from 1 species
UUAAGCGACCAAGCGUACACGGUGGAUGCCCUGGCAGUCAGAGGCGAUGAAGGACGUGCUAAUCUGCGAAAAGCGCCGGCGAGGUGAUAUGAACCCUUGACCCGGCGAUGUCCGAAUGGGGAAACCCGGUGCACUACGGUGCAUCAUCGUUAGCUGAAUACAUAGGCUAACGAGGCGAACCGGGGGAACUGAAACAUCUAAGUACCCCGAGGAAAAGAAAUCAACCGAGAUUCCCCCAGUAGCGGCGAGCGAACGGGGAGGAGCCCAGAGCCUGAAUCAGCUUGUGUGUUAGUGGAAGCGUCUGGAAAGUCGCACGGUACAGGGUGAAAGUCCCGUACACGAAAAUGCACAGGCUGUGAGCUCGAUGAGUAGGGCGGGACACGUGGUAUCCUGUCUGAAUAUGGGGGGACCAUCCUCCAAGGCUAAAUACUCCUGACUGACCGAUAGUGAACCAGUACCGUGAGGGAAAGGCGAAAAGAACCCCGGCGAGGGGAGUGAAAAAGAACCUGAAACCGUGUACGUACAAGCAGUGGGAGCCUCUUUAUGGGGUGACUGCGUACCUUUUGUAUAAUGGGUCAGCGACUUAUAUUCUGUAGCAAGGUUAACCGUAUAGGGGAGCCGAAGGGAAACCGAGUCUUAACUGGGCGUUAAGUUGCAGGGUAUAGACCCGAAACCCGGUGAUCUAGCCAUGGGCAGGUUGAAGGUUGGGUAACACUAACUGGAGGACCGAACCGACUAAUGUUGAAAAAUUAGCGGAUGACCUGUGGCUGGGGGUGAAAGGCCAAUCAAACCGGGAGAUAGCUGGUUCUCCCCGAAAGCUAUUUAGGUAGCGCCUCGUGAAUUCAUCUCCGGGGGUAGAGCACUGUUUCGGCUAGGGGGCCAUCCCGGCUUACCAACCCGAUGCAAACUGCGAAUACCGGAGAAUGUUAUCACGGGAGACACACGGCGGGUGCUAACGUCCGUCGUGAAGAGGGAAACAACCCAGACCGCCAGCUAAGGUCCCAAAGUCAUGGUUAAGUGGGAAACGAUGUGGGAAGGCCCAGACAGCCAGGAUGUUGGCUUAGAAGCAGCCAUCAUUUAAAGAAAGCGUAAUAGCUCACUGGUCGAGUCGGCCUGCGCGGAAGAUGUAACGGGGCUAAACCAUGCACCGAAGCUGCGGCAGCGACGCUUAUGCGUUGUUGGGUAGGGGAGCGUUCUGUAAGCCGUUGAAGGUGUGCUGUGAGGCAUGCUGGAGGUAUCAGAAGUGCGAAUGCUGACAUAAGUAACGAUAAAGCGGGUGAAAAGCCCGCUCGCCGGAAGACCAAGGGUUCCUGUCCAACGUUAAUCGGGGCAGGGUGAGUCGACCCCUAAGGCGAGGCCGAAAGGCGUAGUCGAUGGGAAACAGGUUAAUAUUCCUGUACUUGGUGUUACUGCGAAGGGGGGACGGAGAAGGCUAUGUCGGCCGGGCGACGGUUGUCCCGGUUUAAGCAUGUAGGCGGAGGUUCCAGGUAAAUCCGGUACCUUAUUAAACGCUGAGGUGUGAUGACGAGGCACUACGGUGCUGAAGUGACAAAUGCCCUGCUUCCAGGAAAAGCCUCUAAGCAUCAGGUAACAUCAAAUCGUACCCCAAACCGACACAGGUGGUCAGGUAGAGAAUACCAAGGCGCUUGAGAGAACUCGGGUGAAGGAACUAGGCAAAAUGGUGCCGUAACUUCGGGAGAAGGCACGCUGAUAUGUAGGUGAAGUGGUUUACCCAUGGAGCUGAAAUCAGUCGAAGAUACCAGCUGGCUGCAACUGUUUAUUAAAAACACAGCACUGUGCAAACACGAAAGUGGACGUAUACGGUGUGACGCCUGCCCGGUGCCGGAAGGUUAAUUGAUGGGGUUAUCCCUCGGGAGAAGCUCUUGAUCGAAGCCCCGGUAAACGGCGGCCGUAACUAUAACGGUCCUAAGGUAGCGAAAUUCCUUGUCGGGUAAGUUCCGACCUGCACGAAUGGCGUAAUGAUGGCCAGGCUGUCUCCACCCGAGACUCAGUGAAAUUGAACUCGCUGUGAAGAUGCAGUGUACCCGCGGCAAGACGGAAAGACCCCGUGAACCUUUACUAUAGCUUGACACUGAACACUGGUCCUUGAUGUGUAGGAUAGGUGGGAGGCUUUGAAGUGCGGACGCCAGUCUGCAUGGAGCCGCCCUUGAAAUACCACCCUUUAAUGGCUGGUGUUCUAACGUGGGCCCGUAAUCCGGGUUGCGGACAGUGUCUGGUGGGUAGUUUGACUGGGGCGGUCUCCUCCUAAAGAGUAACGGAGGAGCACGAAGGUCAGCUAAUCCUGGUCGGACAUCAGGAGGUUAGUGCAAUGGCAUAAGCUGGCUUGACUGCGAGCGUGACGGCGCGAGCAGGUGCGAAAGCAGGUCAUAGUGAUCCGGUGGUUCUGAAUGGAAGGGCCAUCGCUCAACGGAUAAAAGGUACUCCGGGGAUAACAGGCUGAUACCGCCCAAGAGUUCAUAUCGACGGCGGUGUUUGGCACCUCGAUGUCGGCUCAUCACAUCCUGGGGCUGAAGUAGGUCCCAAGGGUAUGGCUGUUCGCCAUUUAAAGUGGUACGCGAGCUGGGUUUAGAACGUCGUGAGACAGUUCGGUCCCUAUCUGCCGUGGGCGCUGGAGAACUGAGGGGGGCUGCUCCUAGUACGAGAGGACCGGAGUGGACGCAUCACUGGUGUUCGGGUUGUCAUGCCAAUGGCACUGCCCGGUAGCUAAAUGCGGAAGAGAUAAGUGCUGAAAGCAUCUAAGCACGAAACUUGCCCCGAGAUGAGUUCUCCCUGACUCCUUGAGAGUCCUGAAGGAACGUUGAAGACGACGACGUUGAUAGGCCGGGUGUGUAAGCGCAGCGAUGCGUUGAGCUAACCGGUACUAAUGAACCGUGAGGCUUAACCUU